rnacentral:rRNA from 1 species
GACGAACGCUGGCGGCGUGCUUAACACAUGCAAGUCGAACGGAAAGGCCCUGCUUUUGUGGGGUGCUCGAGUGGCGAACGGGUGAGUAACACGUGAGUAACCUGCCCUUGACUUUGGGAUAACUUCAGGAAACUGGGGCUAAUACCGGAUAGGAGCUCCUGCUGCAUGGUGGGGGUUGGAAAGUUUCGGCGGUUGGGGAUGGACUCGCGGCUUAUCAGCUUGUUAGUGGGGUAGUGGCUUACCAAGGCUUUGACGGGUGGCCGGCCUGAGAGGGUGACCGGCCACAUUGGGACUGAGAUACGGCCCAGACUCCUACGGGAGGCAGCAGUGGGGAAUAUUGCACAAUGGGCGGAAGCCUGAUGCAGCAACGCCGCGUGCGGGAUGACGGCCUUCGGGUUGUAAACCGCUUUCGCCUGUGACGAAGCGUGAGUGACGGUAAUGGGUAAAGAAGCACCGGCUAACUACGUG